GACGAACGCUGACGGCGUGCUUUAGACAUGCAAGUCGAACGAGAAAGCCCUUCGGGGUUAGUAAAGUGGCGAACGGGUGAGUAACACGUGGGCAAUCUGCCCUUCGUUGGGGGACAACCGGGGGAAACCCCGGCUAAUACCCCGUAAGCUUGUCGGGUCGCAUGGCCUGACAAGGAGAGGUAGCUUCGGCCAUCCGGCGAAGGAGGAGCCCGCGGUACAUUAGCUAGUUGGUGAGGUAAAGGCCCACCAAGGCGACGAUGGAUAGCUGGUCUGAGAGGAUGAUCAGCCACACUGGGACUGAGACACGGCCCAGACUCCUACGGGAGGCAGCAGUCGGGAAUCUUGCACAAUGGGCGAAAGCCUGAUGCAGCAACGCCGUGUGAGCGACGAAGGCCCUAGGGUCGUAAAGCUCUGUUGUUAGGGACGAAGGGCGAAGGGUUAAUAGCCCUUAGCCUGACGGUACCUUUCGAGGAAGCCCCGGCUAACUACGUGCCAGCCGCCGCCGUAAAAC
rnacentral:rRNA from 1 species